AUGGUGCUCAAUGGUGGAGCAUGGGUGAGCAUGGCCCGGAUUCUCAGUCCGUGAACAGGGGUUCGACUCCCCUUGGGAGUACCA
rnacentral:tRNA from 1 species